AAAAUAUGAGGUAAAAAUCUAGACAGUCUGCGAAAAUCUGAACAGUUGUAAGGUACGACAGUGAUUUUAUAGUUUGC